rnacentral:rRNA from 1 species
GAUGAACGCUAGCGGGAGGCCUAACACAUGCAAGCCGAGCGGUAGAGUUUCUUCGGAAACUUGAGAGCGGCGCACGGGUGCGUAACACGUGUGCAACCUACCUUUAUCUGGGGGAUAGCCUUUCGAAAGGAAGAUUAAUACCCCAUAAUAUAAUGAUUGGCAUCAAUUAUUAUUGAAAACUCCGGUGGAUAGAGAUGGGCACGCGCAAGAUUAGAUAGUUGGUGAGGUAACGGCUCACCAAGUCAAUGAUCUUUAGGGGUCCUGAGAGGGAGAUCCCCCACACUGGUACUGAGACACGGACCAGACUCCUACGGGAGGCAGCAGUGAGGAAUAUUGGACAAGGGGUGAGAGCCUGAUCCAGCCAUCCCGCGUGAAGGAUGACGGUCCUAUGGAUUGUAAACUUCUUUUGUACAGGGAUAAACCUACUCUCGGGAGGGUAGCUGAAGGUACUGGACGAAUAAGCACCGGCUAACUCCGUG